GUCACCAUACUUUCAGGGAUCAUCUCUAUAGUGCGUGACUAUAAUUUUUUACAGUAGUGCAAAGCCUUGUUUUUCUCCCUCUGAGCGG
rnacentral:snoRNA from 1 species